rnacentral:ncRNA from 1 species
AGAGUGGUAUCUAUCAAGAACCACAUCGCUUUCAACAGGAUUUAUAACUUCAUAAUUUAUUCUAGUUUUAUCGCUUGGAUCUUUUAGACCGGGACGAGACG